rnacentral:rRNA from 1 species
CCUACGGGGGGCUGCAGUGGGGAAUAUUGGACAAUGGGGGGAACCCUGAUCCAGCCAUGCCGCGUGUGUGAAGAAGGCCCUCGGGUUGUAAAGCACUUUCAGUGAGGAAGAACGCCUGGUGGUUAAUACCCAUUAGGAAAGACAUCACUCACAGAAGAAGCACCGGCUAACUCCGUGCCAGCAGCCGCGGUAAUACGGAGGGUGCGAGCGUUAAUCGGAAUUACUGGGCGUAAAGCGCGCGUAGGUGGCUUGAUAAGCCGGUUGUGAAAGCCCCGGGCUCAACCUGGGAACGGCAUCCGGAACUGUCAAGCUAGAGUGCAGGAGAGGAAGGUAGAAUUCCCGGUGUAGCGGUGAAAUGCGUAGAGAUCGGGAGGAAUACCAGUGGCGAAGGCGGCCUUCUGGACUGACACUGACACUGAGGUGCGAAAGCGUGGGUAGCAAACAGGAUUAGAUACCCCUGUAGUC